UACUGCUGGUGAAAGAAAAAAAAACGUCGUGAGUUCGAGAUUGUCAGUUGUUUCAGUUUUAAUUAUGUAUUUUCGAUUUGGAAAUACGUGUUUGGCUGGUUUAGCUCCGUUGCUGGAUCCAUAAUAAUUGACUAUCAUCGGGAGAACCGGAACUGGAAAGUGAGCUGAAUCGUGCC